rnacentral:lncRNA from 1 species
AAAGGAUUGCGAUUGCUAUUAUUAUGAAAAAGAUUUACUGGAACAUCUGCCCUCGUAUUAUCUAUAUAUAUUCUUUGCUGGAAAUUAUUGGCAUAAGAAGGAUAUAGUGUAUGCCGAAAUUAAAGGUAAAUGUCUCGGGGAAUAUCCGUGCAUGGACAUACGUAAAGCAGUAGGAGAAACGCCGGUGAGAAAGUAUUUCGUGUAUUCGAAGCCACCGGGGAUUUGCAGCAUCUAUAUAUUAUUUUCU